ensembl:lncRNA
UCACUUGGGAAUUAUUUGUAUUUAGGUGGAGAGGUUUAUCGUCUAAGAACCACCUGAAGGUUGAAGAUUAACUCUUGCUCAUACUAUCCAUGAACACUCAGUGGGUCUUCUGGUUAUUUUAAGAUCUCCAUGUAAUCCUGUAAGUUCCUAUGCUUCAAGAACCCAGAAGCUUUCCUCUUUGUUCUUCUUUUUCUUCUUCUACAUUAAGGUCAGUGAGUUCCCAGACUAAAAGGCUUGUUCUAUCCUAGUCCAAUCCUAGCUAUACUAUCCAUACAUUUUUGAUAGAAGGAGGCUGAGGGGAGAACCCACUGCUCUCCACAACUACCUGAAAGGAGGUCGCAAUGAAGGCGUCUGGCUCUUUUCUCAGGUGACAAGUGGUAGGACACGAGGAAACCAUUUAAAGGUGCACUAAGGGAGGCUUAGAUUGGAUAUCAGCAAGGAUUUUAUCAUAGAAAAGGUGGUUAGGCAUUGGAAUGGGCUGCCUGGAGGUAUUUAAGAGAUACGUGGAUGUGGUACUGAGGAAUGUGCCUUAGUGGUGUACUUGGUAGAGAUAUGUGAUGGUGGGAUUUGAGCUUAAGGUUCUUUUCCAACCUAAAUGAUGCUAUGAUUUUGGAAACAUCUCCUAGCCUUUGAAGUAGCCUAUGGACUCAUGUAUAACGCGAUAUGGGUUCCCAGUAGCUUCACUGACUCACAAGCUUGGCAAGAACAGUGACAUAAGCUAUUAUCUCCUCUCAAACAAGCCCGAAGGGGAUGCCUCCUCCCUGGAACAACACAGUGACUGCAGGAAUCCAUUUCCCUACAGGAAAGCAGGUGUAGGACUUCUCUGCAGCCAUGCUAUGUGUGUCUCUGUGUGUGAAAGAAGCCAUCUGUGACAUCUUUUGUCUGUUUUUCUAAGUGGUGGUUGCGGGUCACAUUUCUUAUUUAGGUUAGGAAAUAAAACACCCUCAACCAGUCAUACCUAAAUCAUGAUUUUGAUAUUUCCUUCACAAAUACAAGACUGAAAACUUGCUUUUUAAGUUUCAAAUAUAGCAUUUACACUGCUACUGGAGGUAGACAGCAGGCACUGGGAUCUAAUAUCUACGUUUAAUCCCACUCCAGAUAAAUUUAGCUUUUGGUGGCUUCAAAAACUUUAGAAUGCAUUAUUCAAAUCAGGUAUAUUUUCUAUCAUGUUAUUUGGUAGGCUAACAGUAAAAUAGUCAGAUAGACGUUGUAUUUUCAAAAUUGACACGCUUCUGACAGCUUCUAAUGGACUUAAUGGGAGCUGUUGAUUCUAACUACACAUAUGAAAACAUAUUUAGAUACUGAAAUAUGGACAUAAGAUACUAAUUUCAGAUUUCCAUUAGAAAACUGUCGUAUUUUUAAGGAUCUAUAGUAUGACUGUACAAUCAGCUUCCAGCAUACCAAAGAACUUCCGUGCCCUGAGAUUAAAAACUGGCCUUUGCAUGUGGCACAUCCUAUUGUGAGAAUGAAAAUGCACUUGAAAAUAUCCCUAUUUACUUUCUCAAUACAUAAGCUCAGAAUCAUUCUUCCUAAUAAGCUUCAUACA